rnacentral:lncRNA from 1 species
AACGGCCAGGCAGCGGCCCGGGCCUGCAGCGGUCGUUGGUCGUCGGCGUAAGCGUGUCAGGAAAAUAACACGAAAUGCAGCACAGGUGAAUGAGAAUCAAGCAGAUUCUCCUGAAACACAUCCGCAAGCUGAAGGCAGAGAAGGCCUGCAAGAAGCCCCUGGCUAACCAGAUAGGCCCCCAAGGUUAAGACCAAGGAAGUACAGGAGUGCCCCGAGGAGCCACUUCAGGCCAAGAAGGAGGUAACCAAGACUCUGUCCAAGCAGGAAGAGAUGAAGACAUGAAGGCCCCCCUCUCUUAUAAACACACAAGGAAGAUGAAACAUUUAAUAAAAGGAGAAAAUACGGGCCAGGUGCGGUGGCUCACACCUGUAAUCCUAGCACUUUGGGAGGCCAAG